rnacentral:tRNA from 1 species
UGGCUCAGUUGGCAGAGCGUCUGACUUCCGCUCAGGUCACGGUCCAUGGGUUUGAGUCCCAU